rfam:Lottia gigantea unplaced genomic scaffold LOTGIsca_435, whole genome shotgun sequence.
GCCUCCGUGGCCCAAUGGAUAAGGCAUCGGCCUCCUAAGCUAAACGCGGUGAGAGACAGCCGGGGAUUGCGGGUUCGAGUCCCGUCGGAGGUG